AACGUCUUCUCCUUGAUAUCUAAACAGCUCCUCCAUCACCUCAUUCUUGCCUUUACUCAAAUGCCAUACAUUUCAGUAAGCUCUUCUCUGUCUAUCCUUACAUGAAAUUCCAGCUACCUCAAUCUCCUUUGUCCUCUUUCAUAUUUUAUGUUUCCCUUAUAAAUUAACACUAUCUGAUAUAUUUUGUAUGGAACACUUACUGUCAUUUACCUCUAAGACUUAAGCUUCAAAAAGUUAGAGACUUUUAAGUGUUUUGUUCACUGCUCUAUCUCCAGGUCUAGAACAAUAUCUGCUACAUGCUAGUUGCUCAAUAAACAUGUGUUGAAUAAGGGAAUGAAUAAAUAACGCUAGCUAUAAAAAAUUAACCAAGCAGAUUAUAAAUUGUGAAUGUGUGAAUGUCCUAAAGACUUAAAAAAUGCAAAUUAAAUCAUUGAUUAAACUUUACUUUUAAACUCAUUCUUUAUAUUUUAAACUUUUGUUAUUGUCCUUUACAAUUGAAUGCCUACUCAGGCAGCCUAAGUCCAAGGUUAAUUUUAUUCAGCAUUUCCUGUUAUAUCAAUUUUUGCAUUGCUUGUGCAAAAUUUACAAAAACUGAAUUUUUACAUUAAUUUUAUAUAAAGCUUAAAUGUGAAAAUAUUAAAAUAAUUCCAUAGGCAACUGCUAUUAAACAAAGAAAGCAAUGUCACUUAAGAUAUGCAAUUGGUCCAGCAGGCUGUAGUUCCAUCCAAAAGUUGAAAAUGUCUUCAUCAAUAGGUGUGUUCCUUUUAAUUUACUGUUUUAAAGGUGGUUUGAGAGAGUCUGUUAUAAUGUAAACAUGGUGAAAUUGCAAAGACUCAAAAUGACCACAUUUUAAAUGGAAACAUGUAUGCUUCUAUAUAUGCCCUUUUGCUUACCAGUUCUGUGAAUUCCCCAAAACGUCCUCCAAUAUCUUCCUUUCACAGUUUAUCAGAUUGCCCUAUGGUUUACAAACAGUUGCUCGUCCCUUUACUGUCAAGAUAUUGUAUGUCCCGGGGAUUCUUCCAAGAUGGCGCCGUGAGUAGUCCUCUUUGUCUCUCGCCCUUCGAGUCUACAAUUAUUUGGACACUUAUCGCUUGACAAAGGANNNNNNNNNNNNNNNNNNNNA
rnacentral:lncRNA from 1 species